rnacentral:rRNA from 1 species
AGCUCCAAUAGCGUAUAUUAAAGUUGUUGCAGUUAAAAAGCUCGUAGUUGAACCAAAGUAAUGAUAAAUAGGGAUAGUUGGGGGCAUUCGUAUUCAACAGCUAGAGGUGAAAUUCUUAGAUUUGUUGAGGACGAACUACAGCGAAAGCAUUUGCCAAGGAUGUUUUCA